CAACAUCCACCCUUUUUGAUCAAACGAUACAAAUUAGUUUGAUUAUCUAUCAACAUUUUAAAAGAUGGUUAAAAUAUGUAGAUCAGUCAUUCACUGAGAAAUUACCAAUGUUUGCUCUUUAUGGAUAUGCUGCUUGUUGUCUUACUAUUGGGUAAAUAUUGAUGGUAAUAUAUUGCUGAUGACUGAGGUUGAUUUGUUUCUCUGUCAGAUGCUGAUGUGAGUCCCGGUGUGUUUGAGCAGCUCAUGUUUUCAUCAGAACACGAGCAGCAGCACGUGAUCUAAUUAUGAGUGAGACGACACCAGAAUGAUUUACGUUGUCAUUCUUCCCAACGGAGAAACAUGCAAAGCAGGAUGAGCAGAACGGCUCAAAGCUUCAUAUGUUUGUCUCAGAAGACGACUGACAGACUGAAUCGUUCAGCACUCAUUGGCUAAACCCGAGUUCAGACGGGGCAUUUGUGAAGCAGGUCUAUUUGAGAUUGAUGAUUGGUUUCUCUACCCCAAUCAUACACAGGAGCAGAACACAAUUCAUUACACAAGAACAUGUUGACUUCUCUGCAUUUCUGCUACAGAAGAUGAAGCUGUCUGGAGAAACCAAUUAAACAGAAGCGUAAAUAACAAGUUAUAAA